rnacentral:tRNA from 1 species
UUGCGUGCUGUAACAUAGUAAUUAUCUUUUUCCUCAUUAGGAAAAGAUGGCUGA